AGACGCUUUUAAGCCAAAUUGAAAUUUAACGGACUCUUCUGUGGAGCGACUCUCAUUGGUGAUCGUUUCUUACUCACUGCAGCUCAUUGUGUUGCUUCAUCGGAUCGACCACAUAUUAGAAUUGAAGUAGGAGAUUUCACGCGGCAUGGAAGGAAGCAAUAUUAUGAAGUUAAACGAAUUUUUGUGGCUCCAGGAUACAAGCAACGAGAGUGCCCUUUGAACGAUUUAUCAAUUGUUGAAACCGUUCAGAAAAUUAGUUAAGCAAAAACGCGGGCCUUAAAAAUAUGCAGGAACAAUCUUUUCCAAUAAAU